rnacentral:lncRNA from 1 species
AAAUAUAUAUAUUAUAUAACUAUACAAAUAAAUUUAGUUUUUAUCAAAACAAAUUUACGCAAUCAGAUGUUAAACAAAUAUCAAAAUAAUAAACAAUCACGUCACGGUAAAACAUUAAACGAACAGGUUCUUUAUAAUGAUUUAUGGUAUAUAACAGAGAAACAUAAGUUAACGAUGAAUCAAUUAUGCAGACGUAUAUAAAGUGAGAACGGUAUCAUC